rnacentral:rRNA from 1 species
GAUGAACGCUGGCGGCGUGCCUAAUACAUGCAAGUCGAGCGAACAGACGAGGAGCUUGCUCCUCUGACGUUAGCGGCGGACGGGUGAGUAACACGUGGAUAACCUACCUAUAAGACUGGGAUAACUUCGGGAAACCGGAGCUAAUACCGGAUAAUAUAUUGAACCGCAUGGUUCAAUAGUGAAAGACGGUUUUGCUGUCACUUAUAGAUGGAUCCGCGCCGCAUUAGCUAGUUGGUAAGGUAACGGCUUACCAAGGCAACGAUGCGUAGCCGACCUGAGAGGGUGAUCCGCCAACAUGGAACUGAGACACGGUCCAGACUCCUACGGGAGGCAGCAGUAGGGAAUCUUCCGGAAAGGGCGGAAGCCUGACGGAGCAACGCCGCGGGGGUGAUGAAGGUCUUCGGAUUGUAAAACUCUGUUAUUAGGGAAGAACAAAUGUGUAAGUAACUAUGCACGUCUUGACGGUACCUAAUCAGAAAGCCACGGCUAACUACGUG